UUAAAUGGCUGCAGUAAUUUGACUGUACAAAGGUAGCAUAAUCAUUAGUUUUUUAAUUAAAAGCUUGUAUGAAAGGUUGGACGAGAUAAAAUCUGUCUCUUUUUAAUAUGAUUAGAAUUUAAUUUUUAAGUUAAAAAGCUUAAAUUUAUAUAAAAGACGAGAAGACCCUAUAGAGUUUAAUAAAUUUAAUUUAUUAAUUAAUUUAGAUUUAUUAAUUUUAUUUUAUUAAAAUUAUUUUAUUGGGGUAAUAGAAAGAUUAAAAAAAUUCUUUUUUAAAAAAAUCAUUAAUUUAUGAAAAUUUUAUGAUCCAUUAAAUUUUGAAUAUAAG
rnacentral:rRNA from 1 species